ensembl:lncRNA
GUUCAUAGCAAAAUAAUUUGUCCAAAUGAUUUGUUCAAAUUUCAACUGCUCUUUCUGUACUCUUAGUUUGCAAAACAUUUGAAGUACUAAAAUAAUGUGGGAUAGAUGUUGUGGUGAGCAAGACAAACGGUAGGUACUGCAGACACUUCAUUUGCAGUUCUCAAAACUGUAAAGAACAAAGAGCAUGGAGGGUAAAGGAGAGCUAGGCUUAUUUGUUUUGGGAUGUCGUGUUCGUCUGCAGUGUACCAGUGGAAAUCAAUUUGUGUAGGCAAGACUACGAAUACAGGAAAAGGGUGAGGAAGCAGGCGAGACCAUUAACCAUACAUAGCAGGCAUGGAGGAAGAGAACGGAAAGACACCAGAGGGAAAAAACUGAGAUAAAUAGAAAUUGCAAUAUGGAGACAUGAUAGUGGCCACCCAAACAUGGCAAAUCAUAUUUCCUCUGGUUUUACGAGGCUCCCUCCCAGGCCCCGUAAGGUUUGCAACCUUUAAUGUUCCAUAACACCAUGCUUUUAAGGUAGCACUGUUUUCUUAGACGGUUGCCAUAGCAACAAGGUCAUGCCAAAGUGUAGCGGCUUACAGGAGUGUGAGGACUGGCGUGGUGCCAGGCUGGCGAACUGCUUCCCCAGGCCAACGCAAGCAGACAGGUGCCUUGAUUGCACUCAGGUAACGACAACAAUCAAGCUGGGUAGGCCUGCACCAGAAAUAGCUGGCAGACGGCUGAGCAGACAGAGAAAGCACAGAGAGCAGAAGGGGACAGAGGCAUGGGGAUUGUCAUGAUAAACUGAACUAACACUGGUAGGACGUGCACAGCGAAUGUCUCCCAUUUGUUUCAUGAGGCCAAUCUGUUCUAACACCUAAGUCAAAUAUACAAUGUGCAUGGUUUUCACAUUCGGGUGCACAAGCUGUAUCCCUAAGCCCAGAAAGAAAGCGGAGACACGUUAUGCAAAUUCAAAAACACUUGUGAUAAAACCUCGGUCUUCAUACGUAUAAAACGGCUGUCUGCGUCUACAGCAGCUGGCGGGGAUAACAGUGCCCUGCCUGCCUGGUUUAGCCCCUCCCCCUGCACUCUGCAGUGCUGAGGCAUCCCUCUGUGUUCCCAUCCAUCAGCAGCCUCUACAAAGAUGAACCCACUGUCCUCCUCUCCUCCAGCUCUCUCCUCAGUCCUUUUUUCUAACUUUGAAAGUGCACAGAUGCAGGCGAGAUAAAUAAGCUAUAUGUAGUCGCCGAUAUCUCAUUGAUCAUGCUGCUAUAUACAAACAAGGGCAUAGCAGGCUAAUUGUGUUCAUGAGGCAAUGCACUGCAAUGUACACAGACGUGCUGACAAAGAGCGAGAGAGGGUUUGAGUGUACACGGUAGCACAAAGAGAAAGUGCCUGUGUGCAUAGGCAUGAGACAGAUGGCGAGUGUGAUGUGACGUGUUUGAAAGUGAGCUACAGAUCCAGCUUCCCUGUAAGAUACAGUAUGAAUGGUGUCGGUGUGGAGGUCGAGCAGAAAUGUGAUUGUGGGUGCGCUUUGUAGUAUGGUUGAAGUUGUAUCGCUGUAACCGCUCUAGCAGACGUGCAGCCUAGGCGUUUUCUCUGAUCUGUGCAGCACGGCGUAGGGGUGUGUGAUGUAGCACUGAGCCGCUCUGUCUUACCGUCCUCAGCCAUGCUUAAUAAAGUUGCCGUUUCCUGCUUGGCGACUGCAGAGUAGAUGCCGCUGGACUCAAGUUGCCCAGGCAGCAGAGAGGCAGCAGACAGACCCAUAGUCCAAUAAAGCUAUUUUUAAACGUUCAUGUGGGAAUCCUGUGGUCAAUGGUCUGAGAGCUGGGGCAAGCCAGGACAGGACUGGGUGGAAGAGGAGAGAGCGGCGUACUCGACCAGGACCUAGGGAGAGGCAAAGGACGUGGACGCUGGAGUGAGCAGCGUAGAAAGAGAGAGGGAGGGAGUGAGAGAGGGAGAGGUAAGAAAGACAACAGCGAAAGCUCUGCCUCUAACGGCACCACUGGGCAGCGGCAAGUCUAGAAAAAAAAAAGUGUAUACUUUCGCCUUCCUUUCAAAGUUAAAAAAAAAAAAUUCUGUACAGUAGAGGGGACACUGUAAUGUUUUUGGCUGUUCGUUUUCUGUGUCAGCUGUUCGCCUUCUGUGUCAUUUUCUCUGAUUCGCAAAGAGUAAACCACAUCAAGAUGAGAGAAUUGGUCAUAUCAGCCCUUAUUGAAAAUAAUCAACUGAAACCGGCAGACAUGCAGGAAAUUUCCAGAUGAAAAUGCAUGGAAAGCGGCACAAACCAGGGGAAAUCAGCAUCAAGGCUGAAGCACAUCGCUUGCCGUAAGCGGAAGAGAGAGAAAGUCCUUCGGACUGCUGCAUUUCUGCUGCAGACUCUCACACACACCGACCGACACAUAUCCAGAGUGGAAACAAAGGGCGGAAAGCCUCCAUUGCGGUGGCGUUGGAGCAUGAGAGAUCUGCAGUGCUGGGGCUCGCAGACAGGCAGGGCUCUCUGUGAGGAAGGACCAAACCAAAUCCCCAGACAGCUAAUGCAGUCGCCCGCCUGCCCCGCCAUCCAUCUGAAUCUGAAUCCUAAUAUGCGCUGCGCCACAGCAUGUUGCCGUGACAACAGAGGCCUGUCAGACGGGGAGGCAGGAGGCUGUUUCCCAGCGAUACGGCGAGGCUUCUCUUCUCUCGGUCUGCUGCCAGCCAUAUUGUAAUCAUGGCACCUAGAGAAAACAUUAGCAAAAAUCUGUAUUUUAUUAAGAUUAUUACAUAUUUUUUUCAAACAAGGAUGCGUGAUCACUUUAAUAAGUUAAGUUACAAAAAAAACGACAUAUUUAUGUUUCAAUACAGACAUGUUAAGUCAAAUUAAAGUGUUUAUGGCCUGGGGCUGAAUGUAUGGUUUAUUGCUGUGCAAUUAUGUAAACCUAACCUCUGUCGUUAGGUUAUUCAUUCUUCCCUGCCUCUUCUGAGUAAUAUGUAGCAUGUAAUGCUUAGGACAGUCAGUUGAAACAGACCUGAAAAUGAGAACAGUUUCAAUGAUAUUAAAAACACACGU